GUUUCAGUUGCGCACCAGUGACAAAUAAGGCUGCUCGCCAGAAACCCAAGUGCUGUAGCUAAGCUACUCUGUUGCACUGGCUGUGAAAAGUGUACCAAUCCUCAGCAGACCCGGGCUUCAAAGCAGAUUCCCAACAAGCAAGCAGAGGCGACAGUGGCAAGGAAAAACCUGCAGAGGCACCAGGCUCGAGAGGCAGUCCAUCUUCUUCUGGCUUGCCAAGGCAAGGGGUUCUUAGAAGCACAUUGGCCAAGUUUCCAACAGAUUACCAUCUUGGGCAUUAUGGGUGUUCGGCGAAAUCGGCAGCAUCCUCUUCACAUUCCUCAUCAGCAUCUUCUGGUACCAGACAACAUCUGGUUGGCCUGGGCUGUGAGUGGGAUGUGUGUGAUGCUAGCCAUGUUCCUGGAAGCUCCUACCUAUCUCAUGAACGUAGAUGGUCAUAUGGAUAACUAUACGCAAGACGGAGGCUGCCCUCCAGACUUCAUCCAGUGUCCCAAGGAGAACUGCCCGACCAUUAACUGUGUCUUGAGGUGCUGCUGGUUCAGAGGAGGGUGGUGGUGCCAGCGCUGAGUGCAGCAGGGGCGCCAGUGGAGCAGCCUCCCAGGAAGAAGGUCUCUACCUAGGGAUCGAAAGGAACACAGUGGGCAUCCUGGCUGCCAUGGGGGUGUUCCAGGCGGAAUGGAUCCCCUUUUGGACCGAGGUGGAGUUCUUCAUCACAACGUCCUAUACCACAAUCAGCCCUUAUGUGUAUGGGAUUGGGAGUAACCUGUUUUCUGUGAAACACUUUAAGAAGUAAUGGAAGAAAUCAUUUUUAGGCCUUAGGUGUCAGGUGUAAGCAAUUUUCUGUGCAGUAUGAUUAUGGGAUAAGGGAAUAACCUCUUCUCUGAAACAUGUAACAAAGUAAUUGUGGUAUAUUUAUAAACCCUCUGUGUUAGAUGUAGGUGAUUCUCUAUUUUCUCUGAAGUAAUUUUAAGAAGUCAAAGCACGGUUUUUAGAGGUAAACUACCGGUCAAAAGUUUUAGAAAUCCUACUGAUUCCAGGGUUUUUCUUUAUUUUGUACUAUUUUCUACAUUGUGGAAUAAUAGUGAA